rnacentral:rRNA from 1 species
CGGACGUGGGGAACCUACCCUAUACAGGGGGAUAACAGCUGGAAACGGCUGCUAAUACCGCAUAAGCGCACAGAAUCGCAUGAUUCAGUGUGAAGAGCCCUGGCAGUAUAGGAUGGUCCCGCGUCUGAUUAGCUGGUUGGUGAGGUAACGGCUCACCAAGGCGACGAUCAGUAGCCGGCUUGAGAGAGUGAACGGCCACAUUGGGACUGAGACACGGCCCAA